rnacentral:rRNA from 1 species
GAUGAACGCUGGCGGCGUGCCUAAUACAUGCAAGUCGAGCGAACAGACGAGGAGCUUGCUCCUCUGACGUUAGCGGCGGACGGGUGAGUAACACGUGGAUAACCUACCUAUAAGACUGGGAUAACUUCGGGAAACCGGAGCUAAUACCGGAUAAUAUAUUGAACCGCAUGGUUCAAUAGUGAAAGACGGUUUUGCUGUCACUUAUAGAUGGAUCCGCGCCGCAUUAGCUAGUUGGUAAGGUAACGGCUUACCAAGGCAACGAUGCGUUGCCGGCCUGAGAGGGUGAUCGGCCACACUGGAACUGAGACACGGUCCAGACUCCUACGGGAGGCAGCAGUAGGGAAUCUUCCGCAAUGGGCGAAAGCCUGACGGAGCAACGCCGCGUGAGUGAUGAAGGUCUUCGGAUCGUAAAACUCUGUUAUUAGGGAAGAACAAAUGUGUAAGUAACUAUGCACGUCUUGACGGUACCUAAUCAGAAAGCCACGGCUAACUACGUG